UGUAAAUUUUAUUUCCUUUAAUAAAUUCAAGUCACUGACAGGGUCCUCUCCUCUCCCGUAGACUCCUCUUUUUCUGAAAAGAAGAAAAACCACAUCAAUCCUUUCUUUUAGAUCGCUACAUUUAGGAAAUGUUGCCUUUUUUUUAUAGCAUAGUUUGAGCUAAGAUAUAUUCGCCUUCUAGAAUUAUUUGGAAAUGCAUGUUUAUGGGGCAAGAAUGAGUCAGAAUCCACUAAG
rnacentral:lncRNA from 1 species